rnacentral:rRNA from 1 species
AACGAACGCUGGCGGCAUGCCUAACACGUGCAAGUCGAACGAAGGCUUCGGCCUUAGUGGCGCACGGGUGCGUAACGCGUGGGAAUCUGCCCUUUGGUUCGGAAUAACAGCUGGAAACGGCUGCUAAUACCGGAUGAUGACGAAAGUCCAAAGAUUUAUCGCCAGAGGAUGAGCCCGCGUUGGAUUAGGUAGUUGGUGGGGUAAAGGCCUACCAAGCCGACGAUCCAUAGCUGGUCUGAGAGGAUGAUCAGCCACACUGGGACUGAGACACGGCCCAGACUCCUACGGGAGGCAGCAGUGGGGAAUAUUGGACAAUGGGCGCAAGCCUGAUCCAGCAAUGCCGCGUGAGUGAUGAAGGCCCUAGGGUUGUAAAGCUCUUUUACCCGGGAAGAUAAUGACUGUACCGGGAGAAUAAGCCCCGGCUAACUCCGUG